AGCUCUCUGGGUAGAGCGAUCUCUUCUCUUCCCUCCUCAGAGGACGGAAGAGAAACUAAAACUGUAAAUAAUUAUGGUGUAUGGAUCAGAAAGGUGAUGGGAAGAGCAAAUGUAAACAAACUGCAUGUGGGAGCUUGUCUGGGAUCACAGCUGGUGCAAGAGUUUGGGGGCCUGGACUAUGGAGGAGACCCUACAGUUCCUGGUGAAACAGCAAGAUGACUCUGCAAAGUUUCCAGCAGCCACACCACCUGGACUGGCAGUAGCUGUGUGCCUGGCAGGUGGCACAGCAAAAGGGCCUGCAGAAGUUCAUGUGAGCGCAAGCAAAUAUGCAGCAGCAGCAGUUACUACAAAGGGUGGCAUGCAGAUGCCAAUAUCUGGCCUAAACCUCAGAGUGAUUCAUGAUCCAGGGGAAGAGGAGCAUUUGGCCGCCUAAGUCAUGUGCAGAACUCUAUCUGUGUCCAUUGGUUUGCUACUGCAUGGACAAAGACAUGGAUGGCUGACUCAGUAGAUCUUGCCAUCUCCAGUUUCCAUGAAUGAUGGACUAUGUUUAGUGGUUGAUGCUGUGGAGGAAACAGGGCUGAGGAGAGGCUGCACAGCGGAAAGAAAUCUCAGAGGCAUGCUGGCUUCAACCAGAAUGACUCCAGGGCCCUGGGUGAGUCAUGCUGCACCAGGAGUUUUGUACCACCCUUAAAAAGGAGGCAGCACUUGCUUUUCCCCACCUGGCCCUACUCUGCUGACCACUACAGAAGGAUCUCAUAGCACUGCCUUGCCUGUGCCUUCCUUCCCCCCAUUGAGCAGCCUAGCAGUAGUGCUGUUUCCACACCUCCCGCACAGGGUACCUGAAAUCCUUACUGUAUUUUAACUCAGUCCUAACUCAGGCAAAACUUCCACUUAGGCACUGGAAAUUUUUCUUGAAUAAAGAUUGAGAUAAACAUGAGGGAAAGACUCAGGAUUAGGCCCAGAGUGCACAAGGACUAAGAAUGUGGCUGGCCCCCUGGGCAAGUUAGAAAAGAUCUGGGGGUUGUAGACCAUGGUUCUUUGUGCCGUCUCUCACCUUGUCCAUCAAUGCAUACUUACGCUAUUGACCAGAUUUUUCAAAAGAACUCAGUACUCACAGCUGGAGCUAAAUGUUCAAAAUUGUUCAGCGGGUUCAGUGCAUAUUGGGUGCAGAGCUCUUUUGAAAAAUCUAACCGUAAAUGUGAUACUGGCAGUUGCUGAGUGCAGAGCACUGCUGAAAAUCUGGUCCUAAUAUAGAUGCUUAAAUGGAGAGAGGAGCUCUUCUGAAAACCAAUUUGGAUGCCAAGUCUAGUGUAUUGACAACAGUGUAAAGAUAAGCUAUCAUUUUAAAUUCUUAGAGGUUUUCCAGAUCCAGCUUGCAGGGUAGGGAAGCGUGUUAUCUUGUCUUCCAACAGUCAAUCUGCAAAGAGCCAGCCUAGAGCAAGGUGGAGUGGGUUUUGUCACUCUGCCCUUAGGGAGCAGCCUGCUUUCUCUUUCUCUGUUUUUGGUUCUUCAGUGUUAAGGGUCUGGAUUUUAAGAAAUAAAUUAAUGUUACAUUGCAACCUUCCAGAAAGAAUAUUCUAUGCUUUUAUCUAACUUCUCUGUUUGUAUUCUGUGAAUGUAACACUGAUCCCUUUGAAGUCUGGCCCCACAAGUAUAUAUCCCUGCACCCUACACUGGCGUAGUUCUAAGUCUGCAAAUACAUAUUAUCUUAUUACAGCAAGACUAAUUUUUCUCAUGGUAAAUAACAGGCAUCUAUGAUAAUGCAUAUCUUAUCUCUACCAAGUUUCCAUCAUAUUAGUGUUAAUUAAGACUGUUAAUGUAACUGUUUAAACCUCUGCCAGGGAUGCCAGUAGUAAAAUUUAGUUUUCGUGAUUGACAGUAUAUAUGAGGACAAAUCAGGGUAAAUUGAAUAUAAACAUUUUCUAGAAACAACAAUUGGGGUGCUAUGUUCAUAAUGCAGGAAGGUUCUUCUGUGAACUCCAAGUGUGUUAUGACCCCCACAGAUUGCAAAACUGCUACCUAGGCAAUAAAA